UACGGAGGGGGCGAGCGUUGUCCGAAUUCACUGGGCGUAAAGCGCGCGUAGGCGGGUUAUUAAGUUAGGGGUGAAAUCCCGAGGCUCAACCUCGGAACUGCCUUUAAAACUGUUAGCCUGGAGGUAUGGAGAGGGAAGUGGAAUUCCUGGUGUAGCGGUGAUAUGCGUAGAUAUCAGGAGGAACACCCGUGGCGAAGGCGGCUUCCUGGCCAUAUCCUGACGCUGAGGUGCGAAAGCUAGGGUAGCGAACGGGAUUAGAUACCCCGGUAGUCCUAGCCGUAAACGAUGGAUACUAGGUGUUAUAGGUAUCGACCCCUGUAGUGCCGGAGCUAACGCAUUAAGUAUCCCGCCUGGGGAGUACGACCGCAAGGUUGAA
rnacentral:rRNA from 1 species